AAGGAAACCAACAGGGRCUUUGCCCCUAGUGACGGCGAGUGAAGCGGCAAAAGCUCAAAUUUGAAAUCUGGCGCCUCUGGUGUCCGAGUUGUAAUUUGGAGAGGUAUCUUCCGGAGGGGUCCAGCCUAUGUUCCUUGGAACAGGACAUCACAGAGGGUGAGAAUCCCGUUCGUGGCUGGAUGUACCCUUUAGUAGGUAGUGCCUUCUACGAGUCGAGUUGUUUGGGAAUGCAGCUCAAAAUGGGUGGUAAAUUUCAUCUAAAGCUAAAUAUUGGCGAGAGACCGAUAGCGCACAAGUAGAGUGAUCGAAAGAUGAAAAGCACUUUGAAAAUAGAGUCAAACAGUACGUGAAAUUGUUGAAAGGGAAGCGCUUGAGACCAGACUCAGCCUUGGGCAAACAACUUCCCUUUUGGGUGGUGCACUUGCCCUUGGCUGGGCCAGCAUCAGUUAGGACGGUGGAAUAAAGGCUCGGGGAAUGUGACUCCGCUCAGGAGUGUUAUAGCCUCGGGUGCCAUCCCGCCUGUCCUGACUGUGGACCGCGCUUCGGCUAGGAUGCUGGCGUAAUGGUCUUUAGCGGCCCGUCUUGAAACACGGACCAAGGAGUCUAACAUCUAUGCAAGUGUUUGGGUUACAGACCCUCACGCGUAAUAAAAGUGAACGGAGGUGGGAACCCCGAGAGGGGUGCACCAUCGACCGAUCCUGAUGUCUUCGGAUGGAUUUGAGUAGGAGCAUAGCUGUUGGGACCCGAAAGAUGGUGAACUAUGCCUGAAUAGGGUGAAGCCAGAGGAAACUCUGGUGGAGGCUCGCAGCGGUUCUGACGUGCAAAUCGAUCGUCAAAUUUGGGUAUAGGGCGAAAGACUUAAUCGAAC
rnacentral:rRNA from 1 species